AGUGAACGCUGGCGGUAGGCCUAACACAUGCAAGUCGAACGGCAGCACAGUAAGAGCUUGCUCUUACGGGUGGCGAGUGGCGGACGGGUGAGGAAUACAUCGGAAUCUACUUUUUCGUGGGGGAUAACGUAGGGAAACUUACGCUAAUACCGCAUACGACCUACGGGUGAAAGCAGGGGAUCUUCGGACCUUGCGCGAUUGAAUGAGCCGAUGUCGGAUUAGCUAGUUGGCGGGGUAAAGGCCCACCAAGGCGAGGGUCCGUAGCUGCUCUGAGAGGAUGAUCGGCCACACUGGGACUGAGACAGGGUCCAGACUCCUACGGGGGGCAGCAGGGGGGAAUCUUGAACAAUGGGCGCAAGCCUGACCGAGCCAUACCGCGUGAGUGAAGAAGGCCUUCGGGUUGUAAACCCCUGUUAUUAGGAAAGAAAAGAUGCGGAAUAAUACCCGCCUGUCUUGACGGUACCAAAAAAAAAAGCCCCGGCUAACUACGUG
rnacentral:rRNA from 1 species